rnacentral:rRNA from 1 species
GACGAACGCUGGCGGCGUGCUUAACACAUGCAAGUCGAACGGAAAGGCACUGAGAGUGUGGGGUGAUGGAGGGGCGAACGGGGGAGUAACACGUGAGUAACGUGACCUUGACUUUGGGAUAACUUAAGGAAAGGGGGGCUAAGACAGGAUAGGAGCUCAUGCUGCAGGGUGGGGGGUGGAAAGUUUGGGCGGGUGGGGAUGGACGAGCGGCUUAUCAGCUUGUUGGUGGGGGAGUGGCUGACCAAGGAUUUGAAGGGUAGCCGGCCUGAGAGGGUGACCGGCCACAAUAGGACUGAGAUACGGCCCAGACUGCUACGUGAGGCAGCAGUGGGGAACAUUGUCCAAUGGUCCGGCGUCUGAUGCAGACACCCCGCGUUCGGGAUGCCCGCCUUCUGGUUGUGAACCGCCUCCGCCUGUUACCAAGCGUUACUGACGGUAAUGGGUAAAGAAGCACCGGCUAACUACGUG